CCUACGGGAGGCAGCAGGGAGGAAUAUUGGUCAAUGGCCGGAAGGCUGAACCAGCCAUGCCGCGUGAAGGGCAGGGGCCUAGGGGCGGGAAACGUCGUUUGGGCGGGAGCAAGAAUGGUCACGUGUGGCCAGACGAGAGGACCGUACGAAGAAGCAGCGGCGAACUCCGGGCCAGCAGCCGCGGUAAUACGGGGGAUGCAAGCGUUAUCCGGAUUUAUUGGGGUUCAAGGGGGCGUAGGCUGUGAGGUAAGUCAGCGGGGAAAUGCCCCCGCUCAACGGGGUGAAGUGCCAUUGAUACUGCCUUCCUGGAUUGCGGCUGCCGUGGGCGGCAUGUGUGUUGUAGCGG
rnacentral:rRNA from 1 species